AUUGAACGCUGGCGGCAGGCUUAACACAUGCAAGUCGAGCGGAGAUGAGGUGCUUGCACCUUAUCUUAGCGGCGGACGGGUGAGUAAUGCUUAGGAAUCUGCCUAUUAGUGGGGGACAACAUUCCGAAAGGAAUGCUAAUACCGCAUACGCCCUACGGGGGAAAGCAGGGGAUCUUCGGACCUUGCGCUAAUAGAUGAGCCUAAGUCGGAUUAGCUAGUUGGUGGGGUAAAGGCCUACCAAGGCGACGAUCUGUAGCGGGUCUGAGAGGAUGAUCCGGCACACUGGGACUGGGACACGGCCCAGACUCAUACGGGAGGCAGCAGUGAGGAAUAUUGGACAAUGGGCGGAAGCCUGAGCCAGCCAUGCCGCGUGUGUGAAGCAGGCCUUUUGGUUGUAAAGCACUUUAAGCGAGGAGGAGGCUACCUGGAUUAAUACUCUAGGAUAGUGGACGUUACUCGCAGAAUAAGCACCGGCUAACUCUGUGCCAGCCGCCGCCGUAAGAC
rnacentral:rRNA from 1 species